GCCUCCGUAGCUCAGCGGAUAGAGCGAGUCACUUCUAAUGACUGGGUCGCAGGUUCGAGUCCUGCCGGGGGCGCCU
rnacentral:tRNA from 1 species